ACUAUUUUGGCAGAAUUAAGUGCAAUAGAUUUAGAAUCUUUUAAUAUGAUUUGUUAUCAUAAGUAGUA
rnacentral:tRNA from 1 species